UCCACCUCUCAAGCCUGGCUUGUUAUUGGGUUGCAUCAUCACAGAUGGGCCCGAAAGAUAAUGGCGGCGUCGUCCUCGACCCCCGGUGCAGCGAGCUUACAGCAUACACUGAGGCGGGCGUGGGCGAGCUGGCCUUGAUCGUCUGAGCGGGUUCGCCCCUCACACACUUCUUAA
rnacentral:misc_RNA from 1 species